rnacentral:rRNA from 1 species
AACGAACGCUGGCGGCAGGCUUAACACAUGCAAGUCGAGCGCCCCGCAAGGGGAGCGGCAGACGGGUGAGUAACGCGUGGGAAUCUACCCAUCUCUACGGAAUAACGCAUGGAAACGUGUGCUAAUACCGUAUACGUCCUUCGGGAGAAAGAUUUAUCGGAGAUGGAUGAGCCCGCGUUGGAUUAGCUAGUUGGUGGGGUAAAGGCCUACCAAGGCGACGAUCCAUAGCUGGUCUGAGAGGAUGAUCAGCCACACUGGGACUGAGACACGGCCCAGACUCCGAGGGGAGGCAGCAGUGGGGAAUAUUGGACAAUGGGCGCAAGCCUGAUCCAGCCAUGCCGCGUGAGUGAUGAAGGCCCUAGGGUUGUAAAGAUCUUUCACCGGUGAAGAUAAUGACGGUAACCGGAGAAGAAGCCCCGGCUAACUUCGUGCCAGCCGCCGCCGUAAGAC